AUUGAACGCUGGCGGCAUGCUUUACACAUGCAAGUCGAACGGCAGCGCGGGCUUCGGCCUGGCGGCGAGUGGCGAACGGGUGAGUAAUGCAUCGGAACGUGCCCAGUAGUGGGGGAUAGCCCGGCGAAAGCCGGAUUAAUACCGCAUACGACCUGAGGGUGAAAGCGGGGGACCGAAAGGCCUCGCGCUAUUGGAGCGGCCGAUGUCGGAUUAGCUAGUUGGUGGGGUAAAGGCUUACCAAGGCGACGAUCCGUAGCUGGUCUGAGAGGACGACCAGCCACACUGGGACUGAGACGCGGCCAAGACUCCUACGGGAGGCAGCAGUGGGGAAUUUUGGACAAUGGGGGCAACCCUGAUCCAGCCAUGCCGCGUGCGGGAAGAAGGCCUUCGGGUUGUAAACCGCUUUUGUUCGGGAAGAAAUCCUCUGGGCUAAUACCCCGGGGGGAUGACGGUACCGGAAGAAUAAGCACCGGCUAACUACGUG
rnacentral:rRNA from 1 species